UCCAUCAAAAGCUUUUGUUCUUACACUUACAUACCGAAUAGUUGACACCUAAACAUCUCUUCCUUUCCAUCAAGUGAAUACAAUCUUCACCGAAAUUUUAUUUACUACUAAAAUCCAAAAUCUAACUGUCACGACCCAUGUUCAUGGGUCAAACCAGUACUAGGAUCCAUGUAAAUUUAAGAUCCUCGAGACCCAUAGUAAACCUAAUCCAUAAAAUCCACACUCGUCAAUUGGAUUUCUAGGAACAGCAAACCCAUAUUCCUGGCCCAACUUCAAUAUCUCAAAUCAGUUUAUGGUUCGGGCCUGUUUAUAAUACACUUUAUUUAUAAAAUGGGCUAGUGGUCCAUAUAUGCAUUAAAAUAAACAAUUAAAAACGUUCACAAGUUAAGAUAUUCAUAUUAAUACAUGAUGAGAGACAUAUAAGUCCUACAACUGCGGAGUUCACUCAUAGCUAGAAGUAGUGAAGUCCUUACAUAUGACAAUAUAUAAAUUAGACUAUUACAAAAAUUAGAAAUUUACUUCUGUAGCCCUGCGGAAAAGAUUGUAGAGCUUCAGUCGGAUACUUCCUGACAAGUUAAAUAAUAAAAAGAGUGAGUUUUAUAAUAAAUAAUAAUUAUUGCAUACACAUACAUGCAUUCACACAUUUGCUUAAUUAUAUCAAUUUAGUCAUCCGACUAGUUAUAUGAUCACGCAAAUGAUCACACAAAUCACAUAACAACAGCAAUAACAAAUAUUAACACCUUCACAUCACGUGAAAAUUGAUUUGUGACGUCAUCGAAACCCCCGGUAAGCCGUCCUCCCAUAUGGGCCAUCCUCUCAUGACGUGUGCACUAGGAAGCCAAUCCCCAUACAUGGCCGACCGAUCUAAUCCUCACUUGACCAGCCCUCUCUUCUUUUUCCAUACCAACAGGAGGCCAACCUGUGGUUUUCCAUAUAAUCCAUAUCAUCAUAUGCACACGGGGGCGUCGAUCUCCUCAUACGUAGUCGACGGUAUCUAAGACCACCCUCACAAACCCAUGGUGACCCACUUCAUCCCAAUUCCACACAAUAAGGCAUCGCAAUAUCACAACGCAAAUAAUCAAACAAUGCAAUUAAAUGCAAGCAUAUUAAGGAAUUAAACGCUAUCAUGCGAGAGCGCAAAAAAAUAUUCAUAUACCAAUUCAAAUAAAUACAAGAGUAUUAAAUAAUAAUAUAAUAAAAUAUUUGGUUCUUCAUAAAUAAAUAAUAAUAAUAAAUAAAUAAAUAACUUUAUUUUAAUUAUAUCCAGUUAAAGAAUUAAUCUAAAUAAACUUAUUAACUUCAUUAUUAAAUAUGAUUAGCCUAGAUUCUAUCGAAAUUUUGGCAGGACCUCUUCUGAAAUUUGAGUAAACCACAAUUCAAUAAUAAAUUCUCAAAACUCAUCCAUCGGGCAAUUCACAACAAUUAAUCCCAUCCACCAUAUCCAUUAUUCAUCAAUCAUACCUCAUUUACCAUCUUCCUAACUCAAUAUCCACUAUUGUACCAUAGGUUAAUACAUUCUUUAACUAACAACUAAAUUACAAUUUAAUAAAGAAAACCAAGUGCUUAUUAUUGAUUCAUGAUUUACACUAGAGAUAAUAGGGUCCCAUAUCAUAAUCAUAUAGAGCUAAACUUCCCUAUCUUAAAUUCACCAUAAUAAUCAAUUCUAGGUAACAUAAAUUAUCAAUAAUCUAAUUGGCUGACUAAGUCUUUCUAAGGCCACGUUACUUUAUGUAAUGAUUUAGGGAUUUAAUUAAGUUGAAUAGUGAUUUUAAUCACAUAUCCAUAAUCUACGAACUAAUUCCUACAUUCUGAGUUUAGGAAUUUUCCUGACACCGGAAACAUUCGCCGGCCACCGCAAUCACCGCCGCCCACGGUGACCAAAGAGUGGCAGUACCGGAUUUCACGUUUCUCUACGCUAAGUUGUUUCAAAUUUUAUGAAGCUUGCAAAUACCCUAGCAAUUUCUAUAAUUCAUGCCCUAAUCUAAUAUAAUCACAAUUUCUCUCAGUUAAAUCUUAAGUUCAAAUUCUCCUAAACCCUCCAAUUAAUUCACAAACUUCAAAACCUAAUAUUUCAAAGACCUUCAAUUAACUAUCUAUUCGAAAUCAACUAAAUUCCCUAAUAAUUUAAAUUUGGAAAUUAUACCAAAAAAAAAAAAAAAAAGAGGAACUAGGUCUUAGAGAGUACCAAUCAAAAAUCGGAUGACGAUUUCACAAUCCGCGCAAGGAGAAGAUGAUUCUGCCUCCUGGGGUCUCGCCGUCAUACAUCCCUAGACUCGAAAUUUCACAGGAAGCUCGAUUUUGUCGUCCAUCUGUUGAGCCAGUGGCUAGUUUGGCCGGAAUAUGCAUCGACAGUCACUUCUAUUCAUUCCGUUGGAGAUCUGUUCAGCAUGAAGGAAGGCUUAGAUCGAGUUCAGCGAUAGGAGAGCAGCAUUUCUACACUGGUCUCAUCGACUGGGACUUGCCGGUAGUCAGGAAAACUAGUCGGCAAAGAUCAGCGAUGCCAUUGGAGAGAGAGAGAGCACCGAUUCGCCUCCAUCGACGACAAGAGGCACCAAGACUGACAUCGUCAAUGUCCAGGGAGUCAAUCGCCACUUCGUCCCGUCGGUUUAGUAGCCGAAAACCGGAUUGUGAGAAGGGAGAGAGCCCAAGAUGAGCGCGUCGGAGAAGAAAGGAAGAAGAAGAAGAACAGAAAAGGAAAAAAAUCUGGGUUUCUAGACUAUUCCGGUUCGAUUCGAACGGGUUUGGUCUAAUUUAGUGAUUUGACUCGAUUUUUGCUUGGUUUACGGGUUUUCCACAUGGUUUUCAGAAAAUUCAAAGUGGUUUAUAGGUCUAGUUUAGCAAUAAUAAAAUAUUUUUUGAUGAAUUUCAUUAGCUAGAAUUUAAAAUUAAAUUUUUAAUUGAAAAAUUUUUGAAAAAGAUUUUCCAGGUCAUUUCAAUAUAUAAAAAAUAAGCAUUU
rnacentral:lncRNA from 1 species